UACAGAGGGUGCAAGCGUUUGUUCGGAAUUAUUGGGCGUAAAGCGCGUGUAGGCGGCUUUGCAAGUCGGGUGUGAAAGCCCUCAGCUCAACUGAGGAAGUGCGCCCGAAACUGCAGAGCUUGAGUACCGGAGAGGAUGGCGGAAUUCCCCAAGUAGAGGUGAAAUUCGUAGAUAUGGGGAGGAACACCGGUGGCGAAGGCGGCCAUCUGGACGGAUACUGACGCUGAGACGCG
rnacentral:rRNA from 1 species